rnacentral:antisense_RNA from 1 species
AGUCUUCAUAGACUAUAUGCUGGUAAUUUAUCUUUGAAUAUAGUGAGUAUUUAGAACUAUGGGAGUAGGGUCAGAGUGGGAUAUAGCACAACAGUAAUUGUCAGAGGCUGACCAUGAAAUGCAUUAAAGUGUAUUCCUAUGUCUAGUUUAGCCUUUAAUUCUCCCCAGGUGAGAGAGAGAUGUCACUCAGGACUGCUUCCGAAGGAGUUUCCCUUGUGGCUUGCUCCACUGUCUGACUCCUUUCAUACAAGUGCCUUCAGGGAACUUCUAGUCUAGGAGAAGACAGCCAAUAAUCACAUAACUGCUCUAAUCAAAUAUUUCACCAAAAUGAAGUAUUAGCUACCUCCU